rnacentral:lncRNA from 1 species
AUUGUGAAAUGACUUCUUUUGUAAAUUGAUUUUAUUUUCUCUAUUUCAAAGACUUGUAGAGCCCUUCUUAUGGUAUAUUGAGUUGCAUUGUACUCUCGUGAUUCCUCACUUCCAACCCUGAUGUUAGUUAUGAUUGGGUCGUGGCCGAGUGAGUGGUAGUCUUGAUUAUACUCCUUUUUAGUAGAGUAUUGGGAGGGUGCAUUAUGGCAUUCAUGCAUGGCUUGGCAGUAUCUGCAGGACACCUAUAGUCGAUGGGGUUGAACAUCAGCCUGUGUGCACAUAGUAGCCUUCUGGGUGGGCGGAGCCCA